rnacentral:lncRNA from 1 species
CUCAAAUCACAUAAAACAUAUUUAAACCAUAUAAAUUUGCAUUAUAAUAUCCAAUAAUAGGAAAGUUUCCAAGUGUCCAAUUAACUACCAAAACAUAACGCAUAUGCUAAGGAGCGUCGAAUUACAAAAACCCAUCAAUAAAAAAACAUUUAAAUCUUCUAGGGACCUAGGUAAAUGCCCAAAAUUAACUACUAGAAAACUCAAGGAACAUUACGAAAUUUCAAUGUGGGAGCUCAGACUUUAGCCUUAGGCGCUAAGGAAACCACAAG